rnacentral:rRNA from 1 species
UUGACCUCGGAUCAGGUAGGAAUACCCGGCUGAACUUA